AAACUUUCAACAACGGAUCUCUUGGUUCUGGCAUCGAUGAAGAACGCAGCGAAAUGCGAUAAGUAGUGUGAAUUGCAGAAUUCAGUGAAUCAUCGAAUCUUUGAACGCACAUUGCGCCCUGUGGUAUUCCGCAGGGCAUGCCUGUUCGAGCGUCAUUC
rnacentral:rRNA from 1 species